UUUUUUUUUUUUUUUUUUUUGAGACAGGGUCUCCUUUGUAAUUCAAGCUGGCUCUGAACUCACUGUGUAGCCCAGGCUGGCUUCGAACUCAUGGCGAUCCUCCUGCCUCAGCCUCCCAAGCACUGGGAUUACAGGCGUGCGCCACCACGUCCAGCUGGGAAGGGCUCUGUGUAACAUAGAUGAAGUGAGGAAAAGAGUUCUAUGUGACACAUGAGGGAGGGGAGGGUUCCAUGGGGCUCUUUGUGACACAGAUCUAAUGAGAAGAGCUCUAUGUGACACACAGGUGAGUGAAGGGCCUCUUUGUGACACAUGGGUGAGGGGAGGGGCCUUCAGUGACACACAGGGGAGGGGAGGGGCUGUAUUAUACCUGGGUGGGGGAGGGGCUCUGUGUGACAGGAAUGACUGGAGGGGCUCUGUGACAUAUGCUGAGAGGAGGGGCUGUGACCCACAGGUUCAGAGAAUGCCUUCCUGGCCUGGCCCACAGAACCAGUGUCCUAUCCCGCCUGCCCCCCUUGGAUACCCGAAAGUCCUGAUUGGCCUUGGCUGGUCGACAGGUUCUGCACUUGGAUAUGGGCUCUAACUGGCCCUCAGCCACACACAGGCACCUCCAUUCAUGCCAUCCACCAUCCACAACAACAAACAGACAAUAAAGUGCUUUGUAAAGUGCAGGACCCAGGUCUGGGCAGAUGGCCACCAGCCUGUCCUGCUGCCAGCCCACCCGGCCUCCCCGCCCACCUCCACCAUCGGCCACUCCUGGACUCAGCCUUCACAAGAGGCACCUGCUGCCAUUCAGAUGGGCAUCUCUGGAGGCCUUGGCUGGGUUUCCAGUUCAGUCAGAUAAAAUGCUCUGUGGGUGGGUGUGGCGUCCAGUGUGCCUUCAGGGUGUGUGAGGCAGUUUGCUCCUGUGGCAGCAGGUACGUGAAAACAGCCCCCCUGUUUAAAGGAGGGACUCAGGUGAAAGCUUUUAUGCACCUGCCUGCCCCUGACCCAUUCCAAACUCCGACUCUCAAUCGGCAGCCACAGGGAAGGAUAAGAGGGAAAAAUUACAGUCAUCAGAGGAAAAUUGCCAUCCAGAGCAUCUCCACUCCCAGAUUCAUCCAUGAGCUGAGUGGGCAACAUCAGGGAAGACCAGGGCUCAGCUCAGCUCCUUCUGAACAGGGAGAAAGCUGUGAUUUUCCUCUCAAUCAUUGCCUGCCUCCUGCCUGGGGUCCCUUUUGCUCAGUGGCUGCCACUCAUGAAGCUCACCAGCCCCUCAGGUCUGUCACCUGGCACCCACCCAAAUCCUGUGUCUCUGGGGUCUAGGUGAGCAGUCCAGACAGGUGACUCCACACCCAUGAGAGAACACUGUUCUGGCGGGCUGGAGGACAAAGCGAGCAAUGGGGAAACUGAGUCUCAGGAAGGCCAGGCAGUGCUACACUGGGGCUGGGGCUGGCACCCAGAUUCUGAGACUUGGCGAGGACAGGCACCACGACCUGUGCCUGGGAUGCCAGUUCACCCUGUCCUCCUUAGCAUGACUGACUUUUACUUCUGAGCCCU
rnacentral:lncRNA from 1 species